AAAGAACAUAAAACUGGUUGCUCCUCUCCGGUUAGGCUGUUGCAUACACGAUUGUGUGAGAGGCAGAGGAAGAUAACCGGGGGAGAAAGAGAGGUGUGGAGUUUCCUGAUUUUCCUUCCAGCAAGAGGUUGGGUCACGGGGCUGAAAUCAAUCGAUGUCUGGUAUCGGGUCUGCCUUUCCGGAAACUAAGAAGAACGAGAGAGAUGGAUGAGAGAAAAUGGAAUCGGUUAGGGUGUCGCGGUCGACUGUGGAUUCCCACCACGCACAAUCAGCAUUAUGUUUGGGGGAGUUUCCUGUCAAAAGAAAUGAUUAGAGAAGUGGUCGUUCCAUGGUGGUAAUUCAUGGGCUACCUGGAACAACUUCCCACCCAAAUUAGGAGGUAAAAUCCCCUAUCCUAAUAAAAAUAGGUAGAAUAUGUCCACGUGUCAGUGUUAAUCUCCUAGCAGCCCAAAAUUGUGUUUUCCCGCUUCUUUUUAUCAUCUACAUUUACGUCCAGAUCAUAUUCAUAUACAUUCACAAUAAAUCCGAAAAAUCUGCAUCAAUAAAUCAAAAUAAUAUACAAAUCGUAAUUUAAAAUUUCAAAUUCCUUCAUAUCCAAUCCAAUCCAAUAAAAUAUGGAAGUUUGUUUAUUAUAAUGGGAAGCUAAUUAUUAUCCAGUCAAUAAAUCUCAAAAAAUCUGCACAAAAUAAAAAAUCAUACCGAAAUAUAUACCACUAUUCAUUCUUUACGCUUCUAUUUUCUUUACCAUUGAACUCAUUACAAACGUUAUUCAAUCCUUCCUCUCUGUACCAGUUAUAAUUUCUUCAUUUUAUGAUCGUUUGCUACAUAUUCAUCCUCCAAGACAAGAACAACUACAAAAGGUUAGCAAUCUGAAUUCAUGCAUUUAUAAAAAUUCGAUAGCUGCAUAUAUUUUUCAUAGUUUUGAUGUUUAUGUACUUAAUUCUUCAACUUUAACAACUAUACAUGUAUUUUUUUGGUCAGAUAACAUUAUAUUUGAAGAAAUGCCAAUAUUUUUUUACUUAUUACUUUACAAAAAUGCCAAUAUUUUUUUACAAAAAUUUUUAUACCGAUCAAUAUUUUAUUAUUUCAUUAAUGGAUUAUAAAUAAAAAAAAAAAAGCAUUUGCCACUACUAAUUCAUGAUAUCUAACUUGACAUUACUAUUUGUCAUGUUAUCUAAUUGGAAGUUGCAGGGGCAAAAUCACAAUAUACUUUAUGGUAAGGGAUACUGCAUUGUUUGCUUUCUGUUCUUCAUAGCAACAAUAUACUUUACCAGUUAUCCGUAAGUAUUUGACUGUUUCCCCUUCAUUACUAUUCAAAUAUUUGAAAAGGAAUCCUA